rnacentral:lncRNA from 1 species
GCAAUUUGCAGUGGUUAGAAAUGACAAAGGAUGGGUGGUAGGAUCCAGAGAAAAAACAGUGAAACCCGAUGGACCUUAAAUAGAUCUGAGGGCACUGAUUUGAUUAUUUUGGGUGAAAUCUUUUAAGAAAAUCUUGUCAGAUUCUUCACAGAAAAUUUGGUAAAGCCUAUAUUUCAUCGCCAGCCUAGCAAAGGCAAGCUGGCAAACAGGGAAACAAGGAGAACUGUGUGCUCAGCCCUCCAGAGUGGCACGGAUUAUGAGGAGGUGAUGGUCCUUCCCCGCCAAGAUCCUGAGACACUGUCACUCCGGAAUCCAAAAAGAGAUUCAGAUACCAUGAAAGGAUUUGAGCGUUUUUUUAUGUGAAUCCAAAGAUGACAUUUACAAAAGGUGGAGAAGCAGUUCCCUACUGAGGGACGUGGAUACAAAAAGCAGAUGACACAACACAUCCCAUAGAGUUCCCAGGGAAGAAUGAACCCAGAUUCUUGACCUGCAGAGGUGGCGUACUGGCUGGAGAAAUCUCUGGCUGGCGACCGUGCUAUUCUGUCUGUCCACCUAACUGUGGGCUCCCAGAUCACCACUGCCAUGGGCAGGGGGCCGUGGGGUGGGCCUGCUUGGGGUGACAGGCUAGCUGUGCUCCCAUAGCAGAGGUGGGAGAAGGGAAUCACAUCUGGUGAGCAGCUAUGUCGUGCCAGGCACUGUGCUGUGUAUUGCACACAUCUCAAACCUUGUGACAAAUGUGUAAGAUAUUUUUUAUGUAUUACAAAUGAAGGAACUGGGCUCAGAAAAGCUCCAUUAUUUGCCCAAAUUGCAGCAGUAAUGCAGGAAUUUGAAUCCACAUUAAUCUGACUCCACAACCCAUGUUCUUUCACUGAAUUCCCAUAUCCUUGUUCCCCCUACUGUCCUCACUGGUCAAGGUGAGCUUGGUCUUCCACAAACAGGCUAGAAAAGUAUGCUUACUUAUCUUUAGCUUUAUGCUUUUAAACUAAUUCUUAAAAAUCUUCUCUGGAUAAGUCAAAGACAAUGGGAAUGUGUAUUUCUAAUACAUUAAUUAUAAUACAUUACCGGUUUACACAAUGCCA